GACCUUAACCUGCUAAAUAGCCCGUAUUGCUUUGGCAGUACGCUGGCUUCUUAGAGGGACUAUCCGCUCAAGCGGAUGGAAGUUUGAGGCAAUAACAGGUCUGUGAUGCCCUUAGAUGUUCUGGGCCGCACGCGCGUUACACUGACGGAGCCAGCGAGUACUUCCUUGACAGAGAUGUCCGGGUAAUCUUGUGAAACUCU
rnacentral:rRNA from 1 species